rnacentral:rRNA from 1 species
UACGGAGGGGGCUAGCGUUGUUCGGAAUUACUGGGCGUAAAGCGCACGUAGGCGGCUUUGCAAGUUAGAGGUGAAAGCCCAGGGCUUAACCCUGGAAUUGCCUUUAAGACUGCAUCGCUAGAAUCGUGGAGAGGUGAGUGGAAUUCCGAGUGUAGAGGUGAGAUUCGUAGAUAUUCGGAAGAACACCAGUGGCGAAGGCGACUCACUGGACACGUAUUGACGCUGAGGUGCGAAAGCGUGGGGAGCAAACAGG